UUAAAGGAUAAGUUAAGUAAACUGUAUGAUUCAUGAUCAUAAAAUACAUAUUUGUGUUCCUUUAAA
rnacentral:tRNA from 1 species